ACCUGGCUCAGCUGAUCCAGGGCGUCGAAGCCGGGAUGCUCGGGAGGCGGGGAGAGCUGGCCCAGGACGGGACGGUGGUCGGCAGGAUCAGAAGCCUCUAGGGGACAGCGCCCCCUUGCCGGCCGCGGGCGUCCCCUUCCCCGCCUGCAAGUCUCGCGCGCUCCCAGCGUGCGGUUCCGGAGCAGAGAGUGCCCGCAUUCAAGCACCAGGUCUCUGCUCCUCAGUUCUGGGGCUUCCCUGUGUCGGCUUCCGACUCGGAUCAGAGCCCCACAGCAGACAGAGUGCUUCUGACAAGCACUGAUGGUUAGUGCCAGUUCUGGCGCUUCUAACGGAGCAUAAGCGCUUCUAACCCCUGCUUAUCUACCCUCUCCGUAUGUAUCGCUCACGUUCCACUGGACCUUUCCUCCUCCAAAGGGCACUUGAAGUUCAAGUCAUGUCUCUCAGCGAAUGGGGACAGAUCCUGACUUAGAGCCGCAAGUCCAGUCCCAUCUGUGCACAUCUGAGCAAGUCUCUCGGCCAGCAAGCAGGG